GCUCAGUAUGAGGUCCAGAGAGUCCCAGUCCCUCCUGGAUCCUGAUGGGGUUGGGACCGGGCUGGCCUUCAGCAGACCCAAACACCUCAGCAGAACCACAGAGGAGGAUGAGCAGAACCCUCACAGACACAGACCCAAACCCACCGUGUUCACCAAUAAAGAAGCUCCUGAAUGGUACAGGAAAGUCAAGUUCCAGCCUGAAUGACCAAUGAGUGGCCUUACAGGUGGUGCAGAUGGGAUUUGUGUAGACACUCCAAACUGGUUUUAUUUACACUACUGUAUUGGUAAUAGUAUAUCUGUGUGUCUUGUACUGUACUGUUAUAAUCGGUUGACUUGCUAAAACUUUUUAAUAUAAAAAUCUGUCAAAAACUAC
rnacentral:lncRNA from 1 species